rnacentral:rRNA from 1 species
GACGAACGCUGGCGGCGUGCCUAAUACAUGCAAGUCGAGCGAAUCUUUUGGGAGCUUGCUCCCUUAAGAUUAGCGGCGGACGGGUGAGUAACACGUGGGUAACCUGCCUGUAAGACUGGGAUAACUUCGGGAAACCGGAGCUAAUACCGGAUAGGUUCUUUUCUCGCAUGAGGGAAGAUGGAAAGAUGGUUCUGCUAUCACUUACAGAUGGACCCGCGGCGCAUUAGCUAGUUGGUGAGGUAACGGCUCACCAAGGCGACGAUGCGUAGCCGACCUGAGAGGGUGAUCGGCCACACUGGGACUGAGACACGGCCCAGACUCCUACGGGAGGCAGCAGUAGGGAAUCUUCCGCAAUGGACGAAAGUCUGACGGAGCAACGCCGCGUGAGCGAAGAAGGCCUUCGGGUCGUAAAGCUCUGUUGUUAGGGAAGAACAAGUACGAGAGUAACUGCUCGUACCUUGACGGUACCUAACCAGAGAGCCACGGCUAACUACGUGCCAGCCGCCGCAGUAA